UCGAGAAUUUUUGGCAAUGGGGGAAACCCUGACCAAGCGAUGCCGCGUGCGGGAUGAAGGCCUUCGGGUUGUAAACCGCUGUCAGUGGGGAGAAAAGGACCGGUGUACCCGGUUUUGAUCUAUCCGCAGAGGAAGUGUGGGCUAAGCUCGUGCCAGCAGCCGCGGUAAGACGAGCCACACGAACGUUAUUCGGAAUUACUGGGCUUAAAGGGUGCGUAGGCUGCGCGGAAAGUUGGGUGUGAAAUCCCUCGGCUCAACCGAGGAACUGCGCCCAAAACUGCCGUGCUCGAGGAAGAUAGAGGUAAGCGGAACUUACGGUGGAGCGGUGAAAUGCGUUGAUAUCGUAAGGAACACCUGUGGCGAAAGCGGCUUACUGGGUCUUUUCUGACGCUGAUGCACGAAAGCUAGGGGAGCAAACGGGAUUAGAUACCCCGGUAGUCCUAGCCGUAAACUCUCAGCACUGAAUUGAAGGGCCUCCCAUA
rnacentral:rRNA from 1 species